GUGGGGAAUCUUCCGCAAUGGACGAAAGUCUGACGGAGCAACGCCGCGUGAGUGAUGAAGGUCUUCGGAUUGUAAAGCUCUGUUAAUCGGGACGAAAGAGCCUAGUGUGAAUAAUGCUAGGAAGUGACGGUACCGGAAUAGAAAGCCACGGCUAACUACGUGCCAGCAGCCGCGGUAAUACGUAGGUGGCUAGCGUUGUCCGGAAUUAUUGGGCGUAAAGCGCGCGCAGGCGGAUCUGCCAGUCUGUCUUAAAAGUUCGGGGCUUAACCCCGUGAUGGGAUGGAAACUACAGAUCUAGAGUAUCGGAGAGGAAAGUGGAAUUCCUAGUGUAGCGGUGAAAUGCGUAGAUAUUAGGAAGAACACCGGUGGCGAAGGCGACUUUCUGGACGAAAACUGACGCUGAGGCGCGAAAGCCAGGGGAGCGAACGGGAUUAGAAACCCCUGUAGUCC
rnacentral:rRNA from 1 species